CAUGUCGCUGCACUACCUUGCUUGAGGGCCUCUACUGGCUGCAGGCUUCGUGAGAAGAACCCUAGGAGACCUUCAAGCUACGAAAUGAUAGCCCCAAAGCCUCAUGUGCUCACAGAUGGAAAGUUUCAGAAGUGGAUGGAUCUAUGGUGUGUGACGCUGGGAUGGUGGCCAGAAAGCCCCUUCCUCUGGACCAGGAGCAGUGGGACGAUGGCUCAGAAGCCCCUACAACUGGGCCGGGAACAGCGGGACUCAGUACCUUGGUCUGAUUUGGCGUGUUCCUCUGGGCCUUUGUAGUGUGGAACCAGGUGGCUGCUUGUCUGCAGCGGGGUGAUUCGGUGUCUUCCGCACUAGUCAGGACCUCGGUAGGGCGUGCACAGACCUUCCUGUGUGCAGUGGGC
rnacentral:lncRNA from 1 species